GGAAUUUUCGGCAAUGUGCGAAAGCCUGACCGCGCAACGCCGCGUGAAUGAAGAAGUUAUUCGUAAUGUAAAGUUCUUUUAUUAGGGAAGAAAAAAUAAAUUGACGGUACCUAAUGAAUAAGCUCCGGCUAACUACGUGCCAGCAGCCGCGGUAAUACGUAGGGAGCGAGCGUUAUCCGGAUUUAUUGGGCGUAAAGGGUGCGUAGAUGGCACAUUAAGUUUCUUGUAAAAUUUCUGGGCUUAACCCAGUAGGGCAAGAGAUACUGAUGAGCUAGAGUACGAAAGAGGCAAGUGGAAUUCCAUGUGUAGCGGUAAAAUGCGUAAAUAUAUGGCAGAACACCAGUGGCGAAGGCGGCUUGCUAGUUCGAUACUGACAUUGAGGCACGAAAGCGUGGGGAGCAAACA
rnacentral:rRNA from 1 species